AUUGAACGCUGGCGGCAGGCCUAACACAUGCAAGUCGAACGAGUGGCGGACGGGUGAGUAAUGUCUGGUAAACUGCCUGAUGGAGGGGGAUAACUACUGGAAACGGUAGCUAAUACCGCAUACCAUCGGAUGUGCCUAGAUGGGAUUAGCUAGUAGGGGGGGAAAAGGCUCACCAAGGCGACGAUCCCUAGCUGGGCGGAGAGGAUGACCGGCCACAGUGGAACUGAGACACGGUCCAGACUCCUACGGGAGUCAGCAGUGGGGAAUAUUGCACAAUGGGCGCAAGCCUGAUGCAGCCAUGCCGCGUGUAUGAAGAAGGCCGUCGGGUUGUAAAGUACUUUCAGCGGGGAGGCGUUACUCGCAGAAGAAGCACCGGCUAACUCCGUGCCAGCAGCCGCGGUAAUUC
rnacentral:rRNA from 1 species